UCCAUCCUAUAGAGCCUUUCUAUCAUCUGUUUUUUCUGUUUCUAUCUUACAGGAUUAGAAGAAAGCAUGUCUUAAUCCAAAAUGGAAAGCAGCCAUGGUGGAGGAGAUGAAAGCUCUGGCAAAGAAUGAGACAUGGGAACUUAUUACUCUUCCACUAGGGAAAAAACUAGUUGGAUGCAAGUGGAUGUUCACUGUGAAACAUAGAGCAGGUAGUGCAAUUGAAAGGUACAAGGCUAGGCUGGUAGCAAAAGGUUUCACACAAAUGUACGGAGUAGAUUACCAAGAGACCUUUGCUCCUGUUGCUAAAAUGAACACCAUCAAAAUUCUGUUGUCAUGUGUAGCGAAUCUUGAGUGGGACUUGCAGCAGUUUGAUGUUAAAAAUGCCUUUUUACAUGGUGACUUGGAAGAAAAAGUGUACAUGGAAAUUCCUCCAGGGUUUGGGGAUGAGAAGACCAGAGGGAAAGU
rnacentral:misc_RNA from 1 species